GAACUCGCCAAAAACCAGGCCGAACGAUGGCAAAGCUGCAAGGGCACUCGUCUGACGCCUAAUUUUAUGGGACUUGUGCUUAAAUAUUAUAAUAUAAUAUCCUCCUUUCAAGUAAGUGAAAUCACUUGCAUGCAAGACCACAGAUUCGCUAAAUACUUUCGAUCUUUUUUCAGCCCUCUGAUCAACCGAAGUCCAUUUCACAAUGUGCGAAUAUGACACGCCUGGGACCCGGGAUACGAAAAGUUCCACUGUUUAUCUGAGUCGGCGGCACCCAGAUGAUAUAAGCACCUAUAAUGCUCAUAUCAUUGCCUUCACACUGAGCACGCAUAAUCAUUGCAUGGCAAUGGGACUGAGACUGAGACUGGUACUGGGACUGAGACCAUUGGGACCAUUGCUGUCAAUGUUAGAGAUCUUCGCUUGGCCACACACAAAUUAGCAUUUGUAAUUGCACAUCGUCUCGACUCAUUUAGCAAGUCGCUUUGUUAUCGCUAAUAUGGAAGGAAGGUAAUUUCAGGACCAUUACAUAAUUGACAUGAUCUGAUUUCGUGUCGCCAUGAGUCAUGCCAUAGAUAGUGGACAUUCGUGAAUUUGUCUCCUCAGAUUGGAAAAUCAUAUGUUCUUACAAUUUGACAAGUGGUGCUAUAAAGAUAUAUAACUUUAUUGUUUCUUGGAUGCAGAUGGUAUAAAGAAAUAAGCGAUUGGAUCUUAAGAAGCAAAACACGACACCCAAUUAAUGAUGAGCUCACCAACAAGAGAAGACACCAAUAUGUGUCAAGGGAUGAACAAGGAUAAUAGGCGAGUUCGCUGACUAGAAGAUACCCUGCAAAAAUGUGUUAAAGCCUAUAAAUAAAAGAUUUGACCCCCACACAGAUGUUUUUCCGAGCUCUAUAGGUACGUGAAAACAAACUAUUGAUGGGUAUAAUAUAGUAUAUGCCUGAAAUAAUCAAUCAGUGGCCAAAAAGGCAAUCAUUUUUUUUUAGAUACAUAUGUAUGUAGUUUACGGAAAAGGUUGGCAGAAUUCCAAUACCUGUUGAGCGGAUAAGUAAUAACAAAUAAGUUACUGCAUUUCCUUUAAUUUGUGUUUUACAAUUUUCUGGAUCUGGGGAAGUCAUACGAUACGAUUUGGUGUGUGUUAUUUACAAGUGUGAGGGUAAUUCUUCUAGCCUAUGGUGUAUAGAUUUAUUUGGUAUUAAUUGCCCAAACAAUUGAAAGGAGCAAUAAAGAUAUUUCUGUUAUUGUUUACCACACUACUGGGCAGUUAAACAGAAAAGUUACGAUAGAAAACCAUACACAUAAAUAGCCAACAUAAAACAAAUGUCCAAGAUGUAAGAGAUGACUGUGAAAAAACGAUGACUUCAGAUAGAAAACCAUAAAUCGUGUAGCUUGGCUGAAGUUAGAUUCCCUAUUCCCACUAUUUGCUGAUAAAAAAAAACCUCACAACUAUUACGCAAUUCAUCAUAAAUAUAAUAAAAACUAUCAAUGGCUCAUAUAGCAAUAAACAAAUUGAACUGGUGAAAUGAGUCUGUUAACAGAAACAAAAUGCAUAUAUGUAUGCAUAUAAUAUUCAAACAUUGUCGAUUAGUCAAUAUUAUCGGUGAAUAUAAUCAAACUUCUUAAUCAACCAUGAAUAAUUGAGUAGUUAAUUGAACAUGGAUCGUAUUUGUUAGUUUCUUGAAACGUUAUUUUGUGGGUUUUACUUUGGAAACAAUUGAACAUAUCGUAAACAACAUAUAUCUCGACAGUAACAUACAUUUGGCAAUAUGUACACACUACAUUUCAAUGUGGAGUAAAUGUCUGAGAAGAGUAUUAUCAAUAUUUAUGGUUCCGAAGGAUAAUGUCAUGGAAAAGGGAAGUCGGCAUCCGCACAACAAAUCUAUUUCUUGAAAUGAUCAGAUGCUGAUGUUGAUUUAAAUCAAGACUUAUAUGCAUGCUUUUCCAUACAAAUGGUCGAGACAUUUAUAAAAACAGCUAUUGUAAAAUGGAAAACAGCAAUGCAACAACGAGCAAAUCUAUCAACAUAUAUACCUGUUCUUAUUUUUUUGAGCUGUCUGAGAAGUUCACAUUUUCGGAGUAAUGCACUCGACUUUGAGAAGAUAAGUCGACACUUAGGAGUUUAAAUGAAAUGCAAUGGUAACAACAAGAUUUGUUGAGCAAAUGGAAGCGUUCGACUGACGGUUGUAUCUACACCACAAUAUGGAAAAGAGUUUGGAUUGUUUCAAGUAAGUCUGGAAUAAUCCCAUCAAAUUCUAAUAAUCACCUGGCACGUGGCAUUAAAUAUAUUAUAUAAAUAUACAUUUAAUAAAAGUUAUUACAUAUCGUUAAAGAAAUAUAGAUUAAUUAGCUUUCGUAACUCAAUUGGGAAACAAUAUUCUUUCAGUCGUGUGAUUCUAAGAAGUUGUCUUCCUAUUUAGCAAACACAGAUUUUUAACAAAAAGUAGCGGCAAAGGGGACAAAAUAAGAAAACCAAAUUGAAUAUUGAAAAGUUUUAAUAUUAGCUUAAUUGUAUGUGGGAAUUCUGCCACCUUAAUCGCAGUAAAGUCAGACAAACUCUCGUGUGUUCUGAUUACGUUUAUAUUCGAUCCUAAGUCAGCUAGUUGGUGCUUUUGGAUAUUAAGUAAAUAUUGUGGCGCAGAUGGAUGGAAGAAGGGUAUAGAUCUCGGUUUACAAUGGUGUAGUACUCAUAUAUCGGUGUUACUAUAUAUAUAACAUAUACGUGUGGGUGAAUAUGUAUCGAGUGUGUACGGUGUAUUUGCGUGGCGCUUAGUGGGAAAGGGUUAAAUUGAUUUCGUUACGUGGAAACCAAUUUUCCUCAGUCCGAUGCUUGACGUAUGGAAAAGUCAGGCGGGCAUUUGUGUUCCUUCAUGCCAACAAGAACAUUUUUUCGCAUACAUUAUGUGGUAGUGGUCCUUGGGAAAUCUCACUGGCGAAAACCAAAACGAAUCAAUUGAAAUUAAUAUUUAAUCCAAACACAAACCGAACUGAUAAGUAAACAGAAAGUCUGCGCUUCUCAGACUUCUUCAGAAAUUCCCCAAAAUGAGUUUGCACAAAUGAAAUCCAUAAAUGUAUGUAUGUUGUACAAUAAUCGUUGUCAAACAAGAAAUACAAUACUGGAAAAUCAAAAAUAUGUAAUAUACCUUUGGCUCAAGGAGCAGAGAGAAAAUAAAACUCCCUACCAGUUUUCUUUAGAGUUUCAUAACAAAAUGUUUCUACUUUGGCUGCAUACAACAGGUAUACAAAUAUUUAAAUCUGUAAAAACUAAUAUUUGAGUUCAAUAAAGUGUGUAUUCGUGUUUUAUUCAUUUGCGUGGUCAAAAUACUUGUACAGUGAAAACGUGUGCUAAUAGUUUACAAAAUGUGCGGGAAGAGGGUCUUUAAUAAAAUACUAUAUUUAUUUAUCUAACAUGUGCGCUGCCAUGCGAAGUCAAUUGGAACUAGUGAAACAAUAUAUUGCUAACGGAUUAAAAACAAAUAAAGCGAUCUUUGAAAUGAGAAAUAAUCUACGCUUCACUUUAGUUAUGAAAUCAACCUGAUUUUGGUUUAAAAAGAAAAAGAAAACAAGUGAUUUUCGCCUAAAAACUAAUAAAGUAUUGCUGCCUCCUCAAUCGAACAUUCCAUUAAGUACUUAAGUACUUUACUUGUAAAUCUCAAUAGCCAUUUAAAACCAGCUAUAAUUUAAUUUAAUGUAUCUAAGUAUGGUUACUUCGGAAUUGAAGGCAAAUACUGAUAAUUCAUAUAGUUUUAAAUAUAUCCUUAAGCAAUAAUUUAGAAAGUGAAUCUGGAUCAGAUAUUCGCUCAUUAAACUGCAUGUUAACAUUCUUUUUUUUAAGUGAGUGUCGAGCAUAAACGAAGUACUCAAACCGAAAUUUCUUUACACUUAAUAUCCCGUAAAGCAAAUAACAAAUAAAUUUGUGAUAAAAAUCAUAAGUAUUAAACAACAUGCGACGUUAGCAAAAACUAGAUAAGCAUGCCUGUAGUUCAUUUAACUUGCUACUUGUUUCAGUGUAUGUACUGAUGAUAGUGCUUGGUAGGGAUUCUUUAUUCAAGGGGUUAACGAGAUGAUUAUGGUUUAUUUUAUUUUGGGAAGCUAAAUUUUAGCCCUUUAUGUGUGCCCCAAUUCACAGAGAAAUAUAAUUUCUUGAUAAGAAAGGCAAAAGAUAAAAUCAGUGAUGGUUUAUUUGAACGCUGAGACGCCAAAGCUGUGCGGAAAGAAGAGUCUUGGAUGAUUGCUGAAUGAGUGGAGAGUAGUGCGUUAGUUUAGAAACUUAGUCAGACGUAGAUUUGAAUUGAGAUUGAGAUUGAUAUUGAGAUUGAAAUUGAGACGGGCGGUAUUGAUUAUUCUGGCCACGA
rnacentral:sRNA from 1 species